CUGCAUAGUAUGCCCUUAGUUGGCCAGCUGCAUGAUUGGCAGGCAGCCUGACAUGCAUUCAUGCCAGGCUGGCCUUCUAAUUCUUUGAGCAGACAUGUCCUCUUUUUGGGCAUGUUCGCCCCUUUUGGCAGGUUACGUGAUUUGUGUCAGUGGCACAUGCUUUUACCAUGCCCAUGCUUGACUGGACACUGCUGUUAGGGGUUAUGGAUUUACUUGAAAGAUGAAAACAUAAAUUAGAGAGAGAUUAGCCUAGGGUAUGUGUUUUCUUAUAGCUGCUGUUUUCUUUCUCUCCAGCCCCAUCUCCAUCAGAUACAUGACGCUUGGGAGUGUUUUACUGUUUUUGGUCGAUAUGAUUCUGUAAUUAGGCCCGUUAUAAUUGUCAGCACCAGGCCCACUGGGC